UUUUAUUAUUGGAUGUAUUUACUUGAAAUUUGGAAUCAAGCAAGAUGAGAACUUAUAUUUAAUGAAUAAAUUUGAAAAAAAAUAAAAAAAUAUUUAUAAGAGUUAGAAAACUUGACCUGACCCACUUGACUUUGAAACUACUAAUGUCCUGACCGAUAUGAAACAGCUAAAAAAUGUUUUAUUAUUGACAGGAUAGACUUCAAAUUCGAUACCAAGGAAGAAUAAAAUAUUUAACACAAAAAUAUAAGAAAAAAAAAGAAAAAAAAUAUUUUCAAGAGUUAGAAAACUUGACCUGACCAACUACGUCUUUCCCAUGACUAAUGUCCUGACCGCUGUAAAAUGCCUAUAACUUUUUUUAUUCUUAAAAGGACCGAUUUCAAAUUCGAUGUCAAUGAAGAUUAUAAUACUAAAUAUAUAGAUACAAGAAAACGAUUUAAAAAAUAAAUAAUUUAAAGAGUAAAAAACUUGACCUGACCAUCGUCGACUCUGCUCUGACUAAUGUCAUGACCGAUGCAGAAAAUGUUAAUAACUUUUUAUUAUUGAAAAAAAAAUGACUUAAGUUCCUUAUCAAGAAAGAUGAUAGCAUUAAAUAUAGGACUUUAUGAGAGAAAAAAUGUUUUUUAAUUUUUAAAAUUUAAAAAAACUUGACCUGACCAACUUGCCCACCAACUUGAUCUUUGUCCUGAUGAGUGUCCUGACCGUUAUAAAAAUGCCAAUAACCUUUUUGUUAUUUGUUGGGA
rnacentral:lncRNA from 1 species